UUAAAGGGCCGUGGUAUAUUGACCAUGCGAAGGUAGCAUAAUCAUUAGCCUUUUGAUUUGAGGCUGGAAUGAAUGGUCUGACGAGAGGCAACCUGUCUCCUUAAUUAACUCGAAUUUAAUCUUUAAGUGAAAAAGCUUAAAUAUUCUUGGAGGACGAUAAGACCCUAUAGAUCUUUACAUCCGGAUCUUUUAUCUAACGGUGGGUAAUCGGGUGGAAGAAGAGGAUGUUUGGUUGGGGCGACGUCGAGAGGAGAAGAAACACUCGAGAAUAUAUACACAUUGACAAAGAUCAUUGAUCCUUAGAUGAAUACGGAGUAAGUUACCUUAGGGAUAACAGCGUAAUUCUUUUUGAGAGUCCAAAUCGACAAAAGAGUUUGCGACCUCGAUGUUGGUUCAGGGAUCCUACUCGGUGCAGCAGCUUAGUUAGGCAGUC
rnacentral:rRNA from 1 species